AUUGAACGCUGGCGGAAUGCUUUACACAUGCAAGUCGAACGGCAGCACGGACUUCGGUCUGGCGGCGAGUGGCGAACGGGUGAGUAAUGUAUCGGAACGUGCCCAGUCGUGGGGGAUAACGUAGUGAAAAUUACGCUAAUACCGCAUACGAUCUAUGGAUGAAAGCGGGGGAUCGCAAGACCUCGCGCGAUUGGAGCGGCCGAUAUCAGAUUAGGUAGUUGGUGGGGUAAAGGCCCACCAAGCCAACGAUCUGUAGCUGGUCUGAGAGGACGACAAGCCACACUGGAACAGAGACACGGUCCAGACUCCUAGGGGAGGCAGCAGUGGGGAAUUUUGGACAAUGGGCGAAAGCCUGAUCCGGCCAUUCCGCGUGCAGGAUGAAGGCCCUCGGGUUGUAAACUGCUUUUGUACAGAACGAAAAGGUUUCUACUAAUACUAGGAGCUCAUGACGGUACUGUAAGAAUAAGCACCGGCUAACUACGUGCCAGCCGCCGCAGUAA
rnacentral:rRNA from 1 species